CCUACGGGUGGCAGCAGUGAGGAAUAUUGGUCAAUGGACGAGAGUCUGAACCAGUCAAGUAGCGUGAAGGAUGACUGCCCUAUGGGUUGUAAACUUCUUUUAUCUGGGAAUAAAACGUUCCACGUGUGGGAUUUUGUAUGUACCAUAUGAAUAAGGAUCGGCUAACUCCGUGCCAGCAGCCGCGGUAAUACGGAGGAUCCGAGCGUUAUCCAGAUUUAUUGGGUUUAAAGGGAGAGUAGGUGGGUUGUUAAGUCAGUUGUGAAAGUUUGCGGCUCAACCGUAAGAUUGCAGUUGAAACUGGCAGUCUUGAGUACAGUAGAGGUGGGCGGAAUGCGUGGUGUAGCGGUGAAAUGCAUAGAUAUCACGAAGAACUCCGAUUGCGAAGGCAGUUCACUGGACUGCAACUGACACUGAGGCUCGAAAGUGUGGGUAUCAAACAGGAUUAGAUACCCGGGUAGUC
rnacentral:rRNA from 1 species